AGAGUUUGAUCCCGGCUCAGGAUAAACGCUGGCGGCGUGCUUUAUGCAUGCAAGUCGAACGGUCUUUCCCGCAAGGGAAGGAUAGUGGCAAACGGGUGAGUAACGCGUAAGUAACCUGCCCCUAAGCAGGGAAUAGCUCCGAGAAAUUGGAGGUAAUACCGUAUGUGGUAUUUCUUCGCAGGGGGAAAUACUAAAGCCUUCGGGCACUUGGGGAGGGGCUUGCGUCCGAUUAGCUAGUUGGUAAGGUAAUGGCCUACCAAGGCAACGAUCGGUAGCUGGUCUGAGAGGACGAUCAGCCACACUGGGACUGAGACACGGCCCAGACUCCUACGGGAGGCAGCAGCAAGGAAUAUUGUGCAAUGGGCGAAAGCCUGACACAGCGACGCCGCGUGGGGGAUGAAGACCUUCGGGUUGUAAACCCCUUUUCCUAGGGAAGAACAAUGACGGUACCUGGGGAAUAAGUCUUGGCUAACUACGUGCCAGCAGCCGCGGUAAUACGUAGAAGGCAAGCGUUAUCCGGAUUUAUUGGGCGUAGAGAGGGCGUAGGCGGUCCUUCAAGUCGGAUGUAAAAUCUCCUGGCUUAACCGGGAGGGAACAUUCGAUACUGCUGGGCUAGAGUGCCGCAGAGGGAGACGGAAUUCCCGGUGUAGUGGUGAAAUGCGUAGAUAUCGGGAGGAACACCAGUGGCGAAGGCGGCCUCCUGGCUUGCGCCUGACGCUGAGACGCGAAAGCGUGGGGAGCGAACGGGAUUAGAAACCCCGGUAGUCCACGCUGUAAACGAUGUCAACUAGGUGUCGGUGGCGUAGAACCCGUCGGUAUCGAAGCUAACGCGUUAAGUUGACCGCCUGGGGACUACGAUCGCAAGAUUAAAACUCAAAGGAAUUGACGGGGACCCGCACAAGCAGCGGAGCGUGUGGUUUAAUUCGAGGCUACGCGAAGAACCUUACCAGGGAUUGACAUGCACGUAGUAGGGAAGCGAAAGCAGACCGACCCUUCGGGGAGCGUGCACAGGUGAUGCAUGGCUGUCGUCAGCUCGUGCCGUGAGGUGUCAGGUUAAGUCCUGUAACGAGCGCAACCCCUGUCGUGUGUUAUACGUGUCACACGAGACUGCCGGUGUCAAACCGGAGGAAGGCGGGGAUGACGUCAAGUCAGCAUGUCCUUCAUAUCCUGGGCUACACACACGCUACAAUGGCCGGGACAACAGGCAGCCAAGCCGCGAGGCGGAGCUAAUCCUCUAAACCCGGUCUCAGUUCGGAUUGUAGGCUGCAACUCGCCUGCAUGAAGUCGGAGUUGCUAGUAACCGCGCGUCAGCAACAGUGCGGUGAAUACGUUCCCGGGUCUUGUACACACCGCCCGUCACGUCAUGGAAGCUGGCAACACCUGAAGCCGGUGGCCUAACCGCAAGGAGGGAGCCGUCCAAGGUGGGGUUGGUGACUGGGACGAAGUCGUAACAAGGUAGCUGUAGCGGAAGCUGCGGCUG
rnacentral:rRNA from 1 species